rnacentral:rRNA from 1 species
AACCAGCCAUGCCGCGUGCAGGAAGACGGCCCUAUGGGUUGUAAACUGCUUUUCUGUUAGAAGAACAGUCUUUACGAGUUAGAGGCAUGACAGUAUAACAGGAAUAAGGAUCGGCUAACUCCGUGCCAGCAGCCGCGGUAAUACGGAGGAUCCAAGCGUUAUCCGGAUUCAUUGGGUUUAAAGGGUGCGCAGGCGGGUUUGUAAGUCAGUGGUGAAAUGCUGCCGCUUAACGGUAGAAUUGCCAUUGAUACUGCUAAUCUUGAGUAUGGUUGAGGUAGGCGGAAUGUGUUGUGUAGCGGUGAAAUGCAUAGAUAUGACACAGAACACCUAUUGCGAAGGCAGCUUACUAAGCCAUUACUGACGCUGAGGCACGAAAGCGUGGGGAUCAAACAGGAUUAGAUACCCUGGUAGUCCACGCUGUAAACGAUGUUCACUCGCUGUUUGCGAUACACAGUAAGCGGCUAAGCGAAAGCAUUAAGUGAACCACCUGGGGAGUACGAUCGCAAGGUUGAAACUCAAAGGAAUUGACGGGGGCCCGCACAAGCGGAGGAACAUGUGGUUUAAUUCGAUGAUACGCGAGGAACCUUACCUGGGCUUGAAUGUAGAUUGCAUAGGGUAGAGAUAUCCUUUCCCUUCGGGGCUAUUUACAAGGUGCUGCAUGGUUGUCGUCAGCUCGUGCCGUGAGGUGUCGGGUUAAGUCCCAUAACGAGCGCAACCCUUACCGUUAGUUGCCAUCGGGUCAAGCCGGGAACUCUAGCGGGACUGCCACCGUAAGGUGAGAGGAAGGCGGGGAUGACGUCAAAUCAGCACGGCCCUUAUGUCCAGGGCUACACACGUGUUA